GACGAACGCUGGCGGCGUGCUUAACACAUGCAAGUCGAACGGAAAGGCCCUGCUUUUGUGGGGUGCUCGAGUGGCGAACGGGUGAGUAACACGUGAGUAACCUGCCCUUCACUUUGGGAUAACCUCAGGAAACUGGGUCUAAUACCGGAUAGGACCUCCUUCUGCUUUGUGGGGUUUGGAGAGUUUCGGCGGUUGGGGAUGGACUCGCGGCUUAUCAGCUUGUUGGUGGGGUAGUGGCUUACCAAGGCGUUGACGGGUAGCCGGCCUGAGAGGGUGAACGGCCACAUUGGGACUGAGAUACGGCCCAGACUCCUACGGGAGGCAGCAGUGGGGAAUAUUGCACAAUGGGCGGAAGCCUGAUGCAGCAACGCCGCGUGCGGGAUGACGGCCUUCGGGUUGUAAACCGCUUUCGCCAGUGACGAAGCGUGAGUGACGGUAAUGGGUAAAGAAGCACCGGCUAACUACGUG
rnacentral:rRNA from 1 species